rnacentral:lncRNA from 1 species
GGAAUGUAACUUUGUAAACAAUUCAGUAAUCUGCAUGGCGGAAGGAACAAAAGGUAAUGCUAUAGUGCCAAGUUGAUGAUGAUGUCAAGUGACAUUACAAUCAACCUCAAAAUGUUUACUCAUCUUUAUGGAAUAUUGAAUUGUGCACAAUUUGAAUAUCACUCUUAUUGUUACAAUACAAUGGAGUUGGUUUGUGAAGAUAUAUACCCAUAUCUGCUAGCGAC